UGGAACCCUACGUUUUAUUUUUGGUCAAAAAAAGUUAUAUCUUUUAUGUCAAAGGAAAUUUGUUUUAUUAAACUGAUAAACAAAAACUUGGAAGGUAUUUUUACUAUUCAGAACUCACUUAUAUUAUAUUAUAUCUUAAGUUUACCGAAAUACGAUGUCAAUAUUAUAAUGGUAUAAAAAUGGAGACACUGAUCGUCGUGAUUUAUGGGGAAAUAACUAUAAAACAAGUUAUGUUUUUAUUUCACUACACUUCUAUAAUUUUAUUUGUGAUGUAAAAUAAAAUUGUCACCUAAGUUAAGUCACUAAAAAUAUAUUCUAGUCAUUAAAUUAAAACAUUUAACAAAAUUUAACCAAACACAUUUUUGUGUUUUGUCACAUGUAUUAUGGUUAAUGCACGUAUCAACAAUAUAAAAUAGGAUUUAUAUACCAGGAUUAAUAUGCCUUAUCUUGUACAAAUGCGUAAUAAAUACAUACAAAUGUAUUAUUUUAUUUUUUUAUUAAACAUAAAUUGAAUCUAUUACUAUUGAUUUAUUUAUAAUUAUUUCAGUUAAGUUAUAAGAAUGCAUAAAUACACUGUUAUUGAACCUAUUUAAAUGUAUUGUAUCUUAGACAUGAAAAAAAUCAGCUAUUAGAUAAGGUGUAGGUAUUUAGUGUUUUUUUCGUAAAAGUACUUAAUUGAUAAAAAAAAAUAUAUGCAUAUUAUGGAUAUUGAAAUACGCCAUUUAAUGAAAUAUUAACUAUAACUUAUAAAAUCAAUCAGUUGUAUAACCAACUCAUAUAAUACAUCCGGCAUGCAUUGUUUAGUUUUUAAUUAUACAACUAGAAAAUGUUUUAUAUCGUGUAUUAUAUUUUUAGUAAAAUAAUAAUUUUCAGUGGAGCCGAACUCUGCCUUAGCUUUAAAAUGUAAUUACUUUAAUAAUUUAUUGGACACUUGGAACUUAUCAUAAUAAUGGUUAUUGUGAUUAAAAAGGCCCACAUAAUUAAUCAAUCUUAUAAAAGUACCAAUCACUGUAUAGGAUAGAAUGUAACAACUUAAUUUUUAAACAAACUUAUUGCGUGUUUGUGAAGAGCCCAUGUAAAACAAACGAUAAAUGGUGCACACGGUGCAUAGAAAACAAGUAUUAUUACUGUUCGUUGUAUUAAACUAAUUUCAAUAGUCUUGUUAUUUAAAUUAUUAUCUAUUAUAGAAGUGAUUCAAAAUAUAAUAUUUUGAAAUCGUAUAGGUUCAAAGUUCGGUGCCACUGAUUAUCAUUCAAGUGACGAUAAAUGAUUAUAAAUGUUUGUUUUUUUAAAUUUGUUUUAGAUAUAUUCUCAUCAAUGUUUAUCACAACUGGGGUAAAAUAAUUGUUCUAUGAAAGUCUAUAAUCAUGAUAAGCGGACAAAUAAUUAUGAUUUUGACACAAAAAAAAAACAUGCGGAAUACUCAUUAGUUUGAUCCGAUAAACCACCAAUGUGUCUAAAAGUUAGAAAAUUGACGCAGUUUAUCAAGUUCUCUGUGACUAAAUAAAUCAUACGCUCCGUGAGGAUUGCGCACGUAAUUAAACGUUUCCUGCAGACCUCGUCAGAAUCGAUGCUAGAAACAUAUAUUGCUUUUAGUAUAUACGUAUACGUUAAAUUGACUCUCAGCAAAACCUUAGAAGUAGAGAAGCCAAAGCGGAGAAUGUUCGUGGAUGAAUAAUCACGAAUGUGUCAUCUUAUAUACACUUUAUAUUGUGUAGAGGUACAGUUUUAUUCGGCUUUUAUUGGUGACACGCUUCUGGAUGUAUGUGUUUCGAAUACGCUGAAAUUACCUAUUUGACAUUGUACAGGUCGCGUUCAAGUGAUGUUGUUUGUUUUAAAUUUAUUAAAAAAUUAAAUAAAUACAAAUUUAAAAUA
rnacentral:lncRNA from 1 species